AUUGAACGCUGGCGGCAUGCCUUACACAUGCAAGUCGAACGGCAGCGGACCUUCGGGUGCCGGCGAGUGGCGAACGGGUGAGUAAUAUAUCGGAACGUACCUUUCAGUGGGGGAUAACGUAGCGAAAGUUACGCUAAUACCGCAUAUUCUGUGAGCAGGAAAGCAGGGGAUCGCAAGACCUUGCGCUGAUUGAGCGGCCGAUAUCAGAUUAGCUAGUUGGUGAGGUAAAGGCUCACCAAGGCGACGAUCUGUAGCGGGUCUGAGAGGAUGAUCCGCCACACUGGAACUGAGACACGGUCCAGACUCCUACGGGAGGCAGCAGUGGGGAAUUUGGACAAUGGGCGCAAGCCUGAUCCAGCCAUGCCGCGUGAGUGAAGAAGGCCUCGGUU
rnacentral:rRNA from 1 species